rnacentral:rRNA from 1 species
AGGUGGCGGGACAUUACACAAAUAUGAAGGCGGGCUGGAAUCUCUCGGGGUUACAGCCUUGCUGAAUUAUUCACCCUUGUCUUUUGCGUACUUCUUGUUUCCUUGGUGGGUUCGCCCACCACUAGGACAAACAUAAACCUUUUGUAAUUGCAAUCAGCGUCAGUAACAAAUUAAUAAUUACAACUUUCAACAACGGAUCUCUUGGUUCUGGCAUCGAUGAAGAACGCAGCGAAAUGCGAUAAGUAGUGUGAAUUGCAGAAUUCAGUGAAUCAUCGAAUCUUUGAACGCACAUUGCGCCCUUUGGUAUUCCAAAGGGCAUGCCUGUUCGAGCGUCAUUUGUACCCUCAAGCUUUGCUUGGUGUUGGGCGUCUUGUCUCUAGCUUUGCUGGAGACUCGCCUUAAAGUAAUUGGCAGCCGGCCUACUGGUUUCGGAGCGCAGCACAAGUCGCACUCUCUAUCAGCAAAGGUCUAGCAUCCAUUAAGCCUUUUUUUCAACUUUUGACCUCGGAUCAGGUAGGGAUACCCGCUGAACUUAAGCAUAUCAAUAAGCGGAGGAAG